GGCGAAAUAGCUCAGUUGGUUAGAGCGCUUGAUUCAUACUCAAGAGGUCGAUGGUUCGAAUCUAUCUUUCGCUA
rnacentral:tRNA from 1 species